rnacentral:rRNA from 1 species
AGCGAACGCUGGCGGCAGGCUUAACACAUGCAAGUCGAGCGGGCACUUUCGGGUGUCAGCGGCGGACGGGUGAGUAACGCGUGGGAACGUGCCCUCUGGUUCGGAAUAACUCAGGGAAACUUGAGCUAAUACCGGAUACGCCCUUUUGGGGAAAGGCUUGCUGCCGGAGGAUCGGCCCGCGUCUGAUUAGCUAGUUGGUGAGGUAACGGCUCACCAAGGCGACGAUCAGUAGCUGGUCUGAGAGGAUGAUCAGCCACACUGGGACUGAGACGCGGCCCAGACUCCUACGGGAGGCAGCAGUGGGGAAUAUUGGACAAUGGGCGCAAGCCUGAUCCAGCCAUGCCGCGUGAGUGAUGAAGGCCUUAGGGUUGUAAAGCUCUUUUAUCCGGGACGAUAAUGACGGUACCGGAGGAAUAAGCCCCGGCUAACUUCGUG